GGGGAUGACCGGCUUCGAUGGAGUUUUAUUUAAAAUUUACGCAAGUAGUGGAUGGAUAAUCACCACUUAAAUCACUUGUCCAAAAUCAUAAUUGCCAACCAAAAUAGCAAUUACGCUUUUGCUUAACGCUUAAAGCGCGUUUUACUGGUGACUUCUGCUAACCAGCUAAAACGUUAUCAGCAGAAUAAGAUUCGACUGCUUUUUCAAUGUUUUAGUAGUCGGAUUCGAAAACCAUAAAAUAGAUCUUCGGCUUCUUCGUUGAGUUUUAAGCCGGAGAAAAAACAACUCAACUAAACUUGUAGUGUCAGUUUUAAACAAACUUCAGACUGGGGUUCAACUCCCCACAUCUCCACAA
rnacentral:tmRNA from 1 species